rnacentral:rRNA from 1 species
AUUGAACGCUGGCGGCAGGCCUAACACAUGCAAGUCGAGCGGUAGAGAGAAGCUUGCUUCUCUUGAGAGCGGCGGACGGGUGAGUAAUGCCUAGGAAUCUGCCUGGUAGUGGGGGAUAACGUUCGGAAACGGACGCUAAUACCGCAUACGUCCUACGGGAGAAAGCAGGGGACCUUCGGGCCUUGCGCUAUCAGAUGAGCCUAGGUCGGAUUAGCUAGUUGGUGAGGUAAUGGCUCACCA